AAUUGCAGAAUCCCGUGAACCAUCGAGUCUUUGAACGCAAGUUGCGCCCGAAGCCCCCGGGCCGAGGGCACGUCUGCCUGGGUGUCACGCAACGUCGCCCCCCACCAACCCCUGCCCCGACCACGUCCGGGCGGCGGAGGAGGGAGCGGAGUAUGGCCUCCCGUUGGCACAGCCCGCGGUUGGUUGAAACACGAGUUCCCGGCGCAACGCGUCGCGGCGAUCGGUGGUUGAAAGGCCCCUAAACACCGCCGCGCACCGUGCGAUCCGGACCCUCAAGACCCCGAAGCGUCCGUAGGCGGACGCCCCACACGCGACCCCAGGUCAGGCGGGACUACCCGCUGAGUUUA
rnacentral:rRNA from 1 species